rnacentral:rRNA from 1 species
UGGGAUCCGAUUUAGCCUGCUAGUCGCGCGGGUUAGACCCGCGGCAUACAGCUCAGUAACACGUGGCCAAACUACCCUAUGGACAGGGACAACCUCGGGAAACUGAGGCUAAUCCCUGAUACAGCUCUCGUGCUGGAGUGCAGAGAGCUGGAAACGCUCCGGCGCCAUAGGAUGUGGCUGCGGCCGAUUAGGUAGAUGGUGGGGUAACGGCCCACCAUGCCAAUAAUCGGUACGGGUCAUGAGAGUGAGAGCCCGGAGACGGUAUCUGAGACAAGAUACCGGGCCCUACGGGGCGCAGCAGGCGCGAAACCUUUACACUGCACGAGAGUGCGAUAAGGGGACUCCAAGUGCGAGGGCAUAUAGCCCUCGCUUUUCUGUACCGUAGGGAGGUACAGGAACAAGUGCUGGGCAAGACCGGUGCCAGCCGCCGCGGUAAUACCGGCAGCACGAGUGAUGGCCGAUAUUAUUGGGCCUAAAGCGUCCGUAGCCGGCCAAACAAGUCCGUUGGGAAAUCGACGCGCUCAACGCGUCGGCGUCCGGCGGAAACUGUCUGGCUUGGGGCCGGAAGACCUGAGGGGUACGUCCGGGGUAGGAGUGAAAUCCCGUAAUCCCGGACGGACUACCGAUGGCGAAAGCACUCUGAGAAGACGGCUUCGACAGUGAGGGACGAAAGCUAGGGUCUCAAACCGGAUUAGAUACCCGGGUAGUCCUAGCUGUAGACGAUGCUCGUUAGGUGUGGCACCCACUACGAGUGGGUGCUGUGC